CUUGAAAAAAUUAGAGUGUUUAAAGCAGGCUAACGCUUGAAUACAUUAGCAUGGAAUAAUGAAAUAGGACAUCGCAUUCUAUUAUGUUGGUUUCUAGGAUCGAUGUAAUGAUUAAUAGGGAUAGUUGGGGGCAUUAGUAUUCAAUUGUCAGAGGUGAAAUUCUUGGAUUUAUUGAAGACUAACUACUGCGAAAGCAUUUGCCAAGGAUGUUUUCAUUAAUCAAGAACGAAAGUUA
rnacentral:rRNA from 1 species